rnacentral:rRNA from 1 species
UGGCCAGACUCCUACGGGAGGCAGCAGUGGGGAAUAUUGGGCAAUGGAGGCAACUCUUACCCAGCAAUGCCGCGUGAAUGAAGAAGGUCUUCGGAUUGUAAAGUUCUUUAAUUGGGGACGAAAAGAAUGACGGUACCCGAGGAAUAAGCCCCGGCUAACUACGUGCCAGCAGCCGCGGUAAUACGUAGGGGGCAAGCGUUAUCCGGAAUUACUGGGUGUAAAGGGUGAGUAGGCGGCAUGGUAAGCCAGAUGUGAAGGCCUUGGGCUUAACCCGAGGAUUGCAUUUGGAACUAUCAAGCUAGAGUACAGGAGAGGAAAGCGGAAUUCCUAGUGUAGCGGUGAAAUGCGUAGAUAUUAGGAGGAACACCAGUGGCGAAGGCGGUCUGCUGGACAGCAACUGACGCUGAGGCGCGAAAGCGUGGGGAGCAAACAGGAUUAGAUACCCUCGUAUAA